AAAUAAUUCUUGUCAUAAAAUGGGCAAAUAGUCUGAGGUGCCUGACGUCCAGGCAUUCUUUUAUACAUCAGUCCCUUCCUAGUCUCUGUGCCCAGUGCAACUCGUCCCAAAUCUUCCUUCUUUCCCUACCGCCUGUCCCCUCAGUCCCAACCCCAAGCGUAGCUGAGUCUUUCUAAUCUUCCUUCUUUCCCUCCCACCUGUCCCCUCAGUCCCAACCCCA
rnacentral:lncRNA from 1 species